CAGUGGAGCCAGCAGCUGAGCGGCUGUGCUGAGCUGGUGAAUUUGACCAGAAUGCCUGCUGUAAACAUGCUUUCUGUUGCCACUGGAGAAAGAUGAGUGCCAUGAAAGCUGCUUUCUCAGCGCCUGUUACCAUCAAGGUUAAACAAGGUGGACCAGAUCGUCCUCGAGGCCCCUCUGGCUUUCUCAUUAUGAAGUUCCAUUUUUUAUUUAUAUAUAUUUUUGUAUGCAUGGGCAGUUGGGGCACCAGUAUAUAGGUCAAGUAGGACUGUUAGGACUGUUAGCAGACCCAGUGUUCCAGCAGACAGAUGCAAGCCACAGCAGUGCCGACCGAGGUUCUUUAGGAAGUUUGCCGAAGCCAUCAGUGAACGUCUUGGAUGAUGAAGCGCUCCUGAGUGCCAACCUGAUCAGAUGGCAGUGCCAAUCCACGGGUGCCCUGCUAGCAUGGAUUUUUCCUGUUGGAGAUCCCAAGUGACAGCAUGAGUCCAGCGUACACAGCCAUCGGUUCCUUCAUAGUCCUGACUGAUCCUGUGCCCUGGCGUAAGAAUCAACGAGGAAGGAUCUGAAUCUUUCCCUGCCAAGACAGCCCUGAAGAACUCCUUCAGUGUCAGGGCGGCAAUCUCCAAGAAGCAGUCUGGGACCUGCAGCCCCAAAGACACCCCCCAAGAAAAGGAAGAAAUGAGGCACCAUAGAGAGCCCAUUGGCUGGUGUUGCCCUGCUGCCCUGCUGCCCCGCUGCCCUGGGUUCUGCAGCCCAAGACUACCCUGUUCCCUAGUGAAACACCAUCCAGAGAGCAGUCUUGGGUAUUAGAGCCUUCCAGGACUUGUCGGUUCUACCAGCUGGGUAUGUUUUAAUGAGUGUGGGAAAUGAGAGGGUUGAGCUUUCUUUUCCUUAGACCUCUUGUGAGAAAGGCUGUCCUCAACCUUACGACUGCCAUCGGCCAACCAUUCUGAGAAUGCACAUCUUAGAUCUCAUGGGACCCAGUGCAUGUCUUACCUCAAAGUCAUUCCCCUUGUUAUAGUGUGUAUUGAGAACUCGGAAAAGCUCCGAGUCUCGGAGGACAGCCAGUGCUUGGGCGUUCGUGAUACCGUCUGAAAGUGCUUGCCGGGCAUACUUUUCCAUCUGGAUGUAAUAAAAUUCACGGAAGUUGCUGAACCACUUGAUCAUCUGGGAGGUGAUGCAGCGGUUGAACUGUGUGAACAAAUGGUCCAUCAAGUCAGACAUUUGCUGCGAGGUGCUCGGUGUCAGAACUGUCAGUGCCCACUUCAGUGUGAGAUUGAUGUAAAUUGGCUCAAGCACUAACCAUUUUUCCUUCAGAAAAAGAAAACCACAGGUACUGGCCAAUCCCAUGCAGUUAGACUACAAAAUCCGGUGUUUACUGGAAAAUAAGAUGUUAUGUCUAUAAAAGACUUUUAGGCUUUUGUCCAUAUGUCUAAGCAUGACUUACAGCCCGGAGGGGUAACUGGCCAAGGGGUGUGGUAAGGAUGUGGGCCAGGGAGCAGUCCCCUGACAACUGGAGUUUCAGAACGAAUGGAAAUGUGAAUCAGUAUUUACUGUGGGAAUCACAGAGAUGGGUCUGAGGUAUGCCCAAAGUAUUAAGUGCCCUUACCUCACAACCUAGAGUAGUGGAUUUCAGAAACUGCCUGUAGAUGCAUGCAGGGUUUUGGUUCUAACAUUGUUUGAUUUUCCUUACAGUUGCACAUAAUCUGUAUUUAUUUCCACUCAGUUCUGAGACACAGCAGUCGGAUGUAAGUUUGAUGAUGUCUUAUAUUUUGAGUAGGGAUCAAACCCAUGUCUCUGUGCACACUAGACACGUGCUGUGCCACUGAGUUACAGCCUUAGCCCCUUACAUUUAAUGUAUUUCCUUACCCCCACCUCUCCUCUUCUCUCUCUCUUUCUCUCUC
rnacentral:lncRNA from 1 species